AAAAAUAACAAUCAUAUGCUAUGCUUAUGUCUAAAGCGAUUUGAAAUAUAUUUGAGUUAAUCUCGAAGAAAAACUCAUUCGUAAUGAAAUGCGUAUAACUGGAGUUAAUUAUUUUUAUUAUGCGUUUUACCAUCGACAUUAUACAAACACAUUCUUAUUGAGUGUAAUAUUAUAAACGUCAAGAAUUAAUCGUAAAUCUGGAGUAGUAGUACCUAGGUUAGUCUGUCCCUUAACUGGCAGUAUAAUGCCUGACAACGACAGCAUCAUAGACGACCUACAUAUUCAAGAUCUAUAAACCAACCAAAUGAACACUGUAUCCGCACUAAAUAAGCAAAUAUCUAGUUUAUGAUAGUGUACGAUGAACCACAAAAUAUACCAUACCAUUAAGGGCAUUUCAGUUCCGUCAUAUAGUGAAAAACAGGGUUAUGAAUUACCAAAGAUUCACACACAUACACCUGCAGUUUAACUGGUGAAGAGUCGCGGUUCUCUCACACACACACACAAAUACACACGUAAAACGCACGACAGAACGACACACAGGCUAUUUUUCGUUACGUAAUCAUCACUGCCUCUCAAUUAACAUACAUAACAGUCGUGUUUGCUGUACCUGAAAUAGUGCUGAAGUCCGGGUCUGUACACGGCAGGCCAGGCUCUCUCUAGACUAUGUCAUGGCUCACCAACCCUUGAGGUGUCGACUACCGACGCCGAAAGUGACAACAGAAUGAUUCGGGAGAUACAGGUUGAUGAAGACCCUUGGGAAGUAUCAUGGUGGACAUCAUUACCACGUUUGGAGAUAUUCUAUUUCAUUGUGCGAUAUAAAGUCACACGUGGUCGAUGCUUGUUGAUAUGUCUAAUGGUUCCAUUGUCAGCACUCUCGUCCUCAUUUCGAGAUUGUGACCGGAUUCGACCUAGAUGUGUGUGGCGCAGAAGACGCGUAUCCUUUCCGAACGCCAGGUCCCUGUUUCAUCAACAUUCUUUAACUUAAGAACUUCCACAAGAGAGUAUUACUACAAACAAAAUAUUAGGAAGAAAAUCUUUCCUUAAGUUAAAAAAUAUUGGUGAACAUGGCUCCUGGGCUUAUUUUCUUGUACUUGUUCAAGAUACUCAAGGCAAAUAUGAUUUUUUGUUGAUAUUUUGUCCUCGAGCUAGAAUGAUAGUUUUACUAUUAUGUCGGUAUUUUCUGUUGCUUUUCUAUCAUAAAUAUCGUGAUAUCUGAGUUUGUGCUAUGACCUCUUCCUUACUAAAUGUCAAGACAAAGGAGCAGAAAAACAAUACCCUCUAAACCUACUUAGACCUUUUCAGGUGAUAGAACAUGAUGUGACAUUCAAUUAUAAAGACAACGUUAAUUUGGAUAUUUAUCUUUUAACUAAAAACCACGUUGAAAGUGCAUGAGUCAAAUACUUUUAGGUUAACAGAUAACUCCAUCUGAAAGCAUUUCUUGACCCCUAUCCAAAAACGUUAUUAGCCCACAAAUAAUCGUGAAGGAUUUGAUUUGGUGAUUGAUUAUAAUCGUCAAUUAACGCGAAAACAAAUCCUGCGCGAAAUAUAAGUGAGUUUACAGUACUACUAAUCAUCGUUUACUUUUGACACUAUUUAAUGUAUAUAACAUAUGCUAUACCAAUUAGCUGUAUACUACCAUAAUAUACACUGCAUUGUAUACGUCAGUACCAUAUCUUAACUUCGAAUACAUUGUACGGUAUCAUGUCAUUCUUAAAAUAUGACAAAGAAGUAAUAUUACGAAACGAAUAGAAUAAGAUUGUAAACAUCAUGUCGGUAGUCAAUAUAGAAGUCCUGUAGUGUCCAUGCCUCUUAUAGCUCAUCAUUCGCGAAAUUAAAGCCAUAAGUGUUCGUUAAAUCAUGUAUUCGCGAAUAUUUCUGAAGAGGUAAGAUCGCGAAAAAAGUAUUCACGAAAUCUAAGUGAUUUAAAGUAUGUAUUUUCAGAAUAAUGAAUUACAAUGUAUUAUUCUAGAUAAGAUUACAAUUUUUAUCUGAGGUACAGUGUAGGUGGAAUGCAAUGUAAUAUAUAUAUCAUGCUAGCAUAUAUCAAAAUGAUACAACAUUGGUUAUAUAGACAAAAUAGUGUUACAUGAAAAUAACACUUUAAAAAACGAUACUCACUGGUUUGUAGAAUUAGUAUCGUAUAAUAUAAAAUACUAGCCUGUUUUAGGUUGUAAAAAGGUAUAAACAGGUAAUAACACUAUCAUAAUGUCUGUAUUAUAUAGUAAAAAAAAUAAUAUGAAAAGGUAGAAGAACAGUAAAUAUGUUUUGAUUGUAUUAAACGUCACGAAAUAUUGAUUCUAAUUUGUAGUAUUAACAGUUAUUACCUGUAUAUUACUAAAAUAUCCUUUGUAUUCUUUUUCUUCAUUGCUAUUCGAUAUUUAUGUAGUGAUAGAAAAUGUCAUUUGCUCUCAAAAAUGUGCUAUUUUGAACAGGUAAACGAAAUAUUGAUUCUAAUUUGUAGUAUUAACAGUUAUUACCUGUAUAUUACUAAAAUAUCCUUUGUAUUCUUUUUCUUCAUUGCUAUUCGAUAUUUAUGUAGUGAUAGAAAAUGUCAUUUGCUCUCAAAAAUGUGCUAUUUUGAACAGGUCAAGGUACACUGAACUGUUGAUUGUCUUAUUUAUCACAGAACCAGGGUUUUUUUUAAUGAUGAAGUUAUUUCUACUUUUUUUAAGUGUAUUUCUCAGAAUAUAAUUAUUUCUAUUCAU